AGUGAAUGCUGGCGGUAGGCCUAACACAUGCAAGUCGAACGGCAGCACAGUAAGAGCUUGCUCUUACGGGUGGCGAGUGGCGGACGGGUGAGGAAUACAUCGGAAUCUACUUUUUCGUGGGGGAUAACGUAGGGAAACUUACGCUAAUACCGCAUACGACCUACGGGUGAAAGCAGGGGAUCUUCGGACCUUGCGCGAUUGAAUGAGCCGAUGUCGGAUUAGCUAGUUGGCGGGGUAAAGGCCCACCAAGGCGACGAUCCGUAGCUGGUCUGAGAGGAUGGUCAGCCACACUGGAACUGAGACACGGUCCAGACUCCUACGGGAGGCAGCAGUGGGGAAUAUUGGACAAUGGGCGCAAGCCUGAUCCAGCCAUACCGCGUGGGUGAAGAAGGCCUUCGGGUUGUAAAGCCCUUUUGUUGGGAAAGAAAAGCAGCAGGUUAAUACCCCGCUGUUCUGACGGUACCCAAAGAAUAAGCACCGGCUAACUUCGUG
rnacentral:rRNA from 1 species